AAGACUAUACUUUCAGGGAUCAUUUCUAUAGUAUGUGACUAGAGAAUUUUCUCUGAUCGUGUAGAGCACCCUAAGCCACAAGGAGGAGUCAGAGCGUCCUCUCCUGAGUGUGAAGCCAGCUCUAUAUAUUGCUUCUGCGACCACCUUUGGCCAUUGGUGAUCGUUCUCCCUUUUCUCUGGAAGGGGUAGAGGGAGAAGAUGCAGUCUGAGUGAU